GGGAUUGUAGCUCAGUGGUAGAGCAUUUGUCUUGCAUGUGUGAGGCACUGAGUUCAAUCCUCAGCACCA
rnacentral:tRNA from 1 species